rnacentral:ncRNA from 2 species
AACGUUAGGGGAUGUUUUGGUUCUAAUGGAGAGCAGCCAUUAGAAGUAAGGGGGAAAGUUCGGUGAAAAUCCGUCGCUGUCCCGCAACUGUGAUGAGAUUAACUUUUAUUCUCUAAGUCAGGAUGCCCGCCAAGCAAAAGUUCCCGAA